UGGGGAAUUUUGGACAAUGGGCGAAAGCCUGAUCCAGCAAUGCCGCGUGUGUGAAGAAGGCCUUCGGGUUGUAAAGCACUUUUGUCCGGAAAGAAAUCCUUGGCUCUAAUACAGUCGGGGGAUGACGGUACCGGAAGAAUAAGCACCGGCUAACUACGUGCCAGCAGCCGCGGUAAUACGUAGGGUGCAAGCGUUAAUCGGAAUUACUGGGCGUAAAGCGUGCGCAGGCGGUUUGCUAAGACCGAUGUGAAAUCCCCGGGCUCAACCUGGGAACUGCAUUGGUGACUGGCAGGCUAGAGUAUGGCAGAGGGGGGUAGAAUUCCACGUGUAGCAGUGAAAUGCGUAGAGAUGUGGAGGAAUACCGAUGGCGAAGGCAGCCCCCUGGGCCAAUACUGACGCUCAUGCACGAAAGCGUGGGGAGCAAACAGGAUUAGAUACCCUGGUAGUCCACGCCCCUAAACGAUGUCAACUAGUUGUUGGGGACUUCAUUUUCCUUAGUAACGUAGCUAACGCGUGAAGUUGACCGCCUGGGGAGUACGGUCGCAAGAUU
rnacentral:rRNA from 1 species